ensembl:lncRNA
GGUGCACAGGCCGGUCUGUGCGGAGCGCGGAGUAGGUCUGGGAGUCUAACCGAUUCCUAAAUAGGCUUUGAACCGCUCCUUCUGGUUUUAGCGUGUCCACCUCUUUGCCACAGGUAUCUGGUGCUGCCAAUUCCAGAGCCUUUAGGGAUUCUGCUCAAUUUCUCAAAUUUCCCCAGUGCUGGCUUAGGAUUCAAUGUUCCCAUGUCUGCUGCAUCAUUGGUCACAUUUCUUAUUUUCCAGCUGUUAAAAUUUUGUUGCUAUGGGGAGUUAAAAAAAAAACUUUUUGUUGCUAUUUUUCCUUCCCUUUAAAAAAAUUCACUUACAGGGCCAGCCCCGUGGCUAAGUUCACACGCUCCGCUUUGGAAGCCCAGGGUUUUGCCAGUUCAGAUCCUGGGUGGAGACCUAGCACCACUCAUCAGGCCAUGCUGAGGCGGCGUCCCACACAGCACGAGCAGAGGCACUCACAACUGCAAUAUACACCUAUUUACUGGGGGGCUUUGGGAAAAAGAAGGAAAAAUUUUAAAAAAAUAAUAAUGAUUUUAAAAGUUAACUUCCUUGUUAAAAAAAUUCAUUUACCAUCAUUUUAGUGAGAUUUCAGGAAAAGAGAAAAGAAGAGAUGUGUGCAUGCUGAAUCCUCUCUGUUUACCUGGAAGAUUUACUUCUCACAUUUACCUUUUUCUAUUAUUUCAUUUUUUUAAUCCAUGUUUGCUCACUAGUUAUUAUUCAUUGUUUUCCUUUCCAAGUUACGACAAUUUAGUUGCUUUUUUCAAAGCAGCUAUAAGAGGAUAGCGCAUAGGAACAAUGAAAUAAUCAUCAGCCUUUUUAAGGCUUUGCGAGCUUCCAGUGCUGAUCUGUGUAGUAGGGGCAUGUACAUGCAUGUGUAUUUGCCAAGAGACAGCCGCAGCCUACCUGGGGGAGAUCAUAUACCCACAAAUGAUGACACAAGACCAGGAGAUAGCAAUACCCCUCCAAGAAGGAGAUAAAGUUGGUCAAAAUGAGUCAUGGUCAGGAGUGUGAAAUUUCCCCAGCCGUUACUUCUGCCUGGAGAAGAAUUUCCAAUUUGCUUAAACACUUGUCUAUCCCGCUCAUGGAGAAUUCUCUGAAGGAGCCGUCUCCAAAUUGUUUGAUUGACAUUCUUAUAAGAAAAGCAUUUUUAACACACUCUCAAAUAGGCAAAUUUAUUUACUUGCAAAUUAUACAUGUCUUACUCUAUCAAUAUUAUCCAUGGUAUUAAUACACAUACAAGUAGAGAUUUUUAAAGGAUGCAAUAGAAAAUAAAUAGAAUUAGAAGUUCUAAUAUUUUCCUUCAGCACCCCAGCAAAUCACCUUGCACAUCACAGAAUUCUCAAGCAGGCUGAGCAUCAGAGCACCUGCGAAGGUUUUUCAAAGUCCUGCCCCGGGCCUACCUGGCAUAUGAAUCAGAACUUCUGAGGGUGGGACCCUGGCAAGGGCGUUUUGAAAAAGUUUCCCCACUGAGUCCCAUGUGCACCUCUGGUUAAGAAAUACAACUCCAAAGAUUUCAAAAUUAGAGCCCUUGAAAAAGUAUAAAUAGUAGUCAAAUGGCUACCCAAGUGCAAAAAGCAGGCUAAUGAUACUGGGAGAUUCUGAGCUUGAUUAAAUAUCUGGAAUGUCACAUACCUCAAAAAAUUCUGUCUCCUUCCCACAACUCCAUAUUUUUCUUCCUCUAUAUCUGUCCUUUCUCUUUACUUCUUAGGAUAAAUUUAACUUUUCUGUUAUAACAAAUAGGUAUUCAAUGUAGAAAAUAUAGAUAAGCAAAAAGAAGAAAAUAAAAGCUCAUCUAUAAUUCUACCAUUCCAAGAAAACACUUAAAGUUUUUAUUUAUAGCCUUCCAGAUAUUUAUGGCAACACAUGCUUAAAAUGGGAUCAUAGGGGCCAGCCCGGUGGCGCAGGGGUUAAGUGCACACAUUCCGCUUCAGCGGCCGAGGGUUGGCUAGUUCGGAUCCCGCGUGCGGACAAGGCACCACUUGGCAAGCCAUGCUGUGGCAGGCAUCCCACAUAGAAAGUAGAGGAAGAUAGGCACGGAUGUGAGCUCAGGGCCAGUCUUCCUCAGCAAAAAGAGGAGGAUUGGCAGCAGAUGUUAGCUCAGGACUAAUCUUCCUCAAAAAGACAACAAGAAUGAAAGCUCCAAUAGAGCAGUGGACAGUGGUGGGACAGCUGAUCCGCGUGCACAGAGCAGGCAACCUGGCAUCUAAGAGACCUAUAUAAAAAUGCAGAUACGUCAUAUAAGGCCAGCCAGCGAUUCUCACUGGAAUCAGAAUCCUUCAGAAGACCUUUACAUGCAGACUGCUGGCAUACACACACAUACUCCAUCCCCUGAGCCCUACUACAACCGCGACCUUUAGUCACUAGAUGAGGCCUAGAACUACUGCAGCCAUCUUGUCAAGCAGCCAGAGCACGGAGCCGUCAAAGGAGGGAGGGCCACGCAGACAGCCAGAGCCAAAGCACCGCACCCUAUUUCUGGUUUUCCUGC